rnacentral:lncRNA from 1 species
UGAAUUUGUUAUAUUUAUUAUUUCAAAUAUGAUAGAUCAAGUUCAAAAGUACAUGGACACAACAACAUAUCGUCUCUUCUUCUAAGGAGUCAACGGAAUAUCACUGUACACUGCAUGAUGUUAAAAUGAACGAGCAAAGCUGACACUUCGAGAGAGGUUGCAUUGAGAAUUUAUAUAGACUGGUGAACCCACAAGCUAUACAUACAUUUCUUCAUGAACAACGAGAAUUUCUUCAUCGCCAUGAUUGACGCAAUAUGCAAGGUCUGCUUUCUCCUCGUUGUGGCUAACGAUUUACUAACUGGGCUAUAUAUAGUUCACAUUGGGUGGUAAUGAGAGGAUGAGCAAAGACCAAGCAGAGGGAGUGGUCCUGAAUCAAUUCUCCUUCCGAGGUAGGUGCAUGACCCUCAAUUUUACGGAAGGUCUGCAUUGCCUUGACCAGGCCAUCGACCAGAUGACACAUGUAUUUCUUUGUCCUUUUGUUCCAUCGAUCAACCGAGAUACAUAUUUACAAUGUAAAAUUCAUGCAUCCCAUCACUUCGUGUUGCGUGACAAACAAUCGAGUUACACGCGGCGUUCUCGGGGACAAGUAUCUAGAUUGAUUGGUGAAAACUGAGGCGCAUGAGAGUUGUGCCAGAUGUUCACCGACAAAGAUAUUAUGAAGGAUAUGUGCGCCAUGGUAGUCCUGGAUUAAUAUAUUUUUACGAGUCAUAGAUUAGUUAGCAUGUACAUUAAAUAAUAUUGACAUUAAACACAAUUCAUACUAUACAUGAGUAACAUGACCAAAUUCGAAUGUCGGUGGAAUGCCUAGAAGAUAUGAUGUACAUAUAUUAGAUAAAGUUAGAUAGAAGAAGCCAUAAGGAGCCCCUUAUAGUGACUUGGUUAACAGUUAUCUUAAGGCCCCUUUGAACAAAUAGUGCAAAAAUGUGAUAUUCAAUUUGACUUGGUUGCCGCCGAUCUCGCCCACGAUGAACUACAACUAGAACAACGGGAAGAGGUGCGGCAUGGCCGGAGCAAGCGAGUGCGGCGGCCCGGAGAAGUACCAGCUGGUCUGGGACGUACGGCAUCCACCUCACGGAGGCUGCCUACCUAUUACUCCCUCCGUCCCAAAAUUCUUGUCUUAAAUUUGUCUAGAUACGGAUGUAUCUAAUACUAAAACGUAACUUGAUACAUCCGUAUUUAGAUAAAUCUAAGACAAGAAUUUUGAGACAGAGGGAGUAUUAUCAUGGUGUGCUAGCUAUAAUACUGACUUGUCUUUCUAGUCGCCACAUCUACCAUACUGUGUUAUAAAGUUAUCAAGGAAUUGCGUCGCUACAAAAUCAUAUUUCCUUCGUAUCCAAUUUGUUUGGCUUUAAAGUAAUCUUAAUCUGAAUAAAAUCCUAAAAUCAAUGCCAGUAUUGGUAUAGCCAGCCAAAUACUACUUCACAAAUGGGAAGGGAAGCAAUAAAGAUUAACUCCAUAGCCUACAUCUGAAUUUGUUAUAUUUAUUAUUUCAAAUAUGAUAGAUCAAGUUCAAAAGUACAUGGACACAACAACAUAUCGUCUCUUCUUCUAAGGAGUCAACGGAAUAUCACUGUACACUGCAUGAUGUUAAAAUGAACGAGCAAAGCUGACACUUCGAGAGAGGUUGCAUUGAGAAUUUAUAUAGACUGGUGAACCCACAAGCUAUACAUACAUUUCUUGCUAGAUGAACCUUUUCAUCUCAUCUUCCAAGUG